rnacentral:rRNA from 1 species
UACGGGGGGGGCAAGCGUUGUUCGGAAUUACUGGGCGUAAAGGGCUCGUAGGCGGCCAACUAAGUCGGACGUGAAAUCCCCAGGCUCAACCUGGGAACUGCGUCCGAUACUGGUUGGCUUGAAUCCGGGAGAGGGAUGCGGAAUUCCAGGUGUAGCGGUGAAAUGCGUAGAUAUCUGGAGGAACACCGGUGGCGAAGGCGGAUCUCUGGGCCGAUACUGACGCUGAGGAGCGAAAGCGUGGGGAGCGAACAGG